CCUACGGGAGGCAGCAGUGAGGAAUAUUUGUCAAUGGACGAGAGUCUGAACCAGCCAAGUAGCGUGAAGGAUGACUGCCCUAUGGGUUGUAAACUUCUUUUAUAUGGGAAUAAAAUGUUCCACGUGUGGGAUUUUGUAUGUCCCCUAUGAAUAAGGAUCGGCUAACUCCGUGCCAGCAGCCGCGGUAAUACGGAGGAUCCGAGCGUUAUCCGGAUUUAUUGGGUUUAAAGGGAGCGUAGGUGGAUUGUUAAGUCAGUUGUGAAAGUUUGCGGCUCAACCGUAAAAUUGCAGUUGAAACUGGCAGUCUUGAGUACAGUAGAGGUGGGCGGAAUUCGUGGUGUAGCGGUGAAAUGCUUAGAUAUCACGAAGAACUCAGAUUGCGAAGGCAGUUCACUGGACUGCAACUGACACUGAGGCUCGAAAGUGUGGGUAUCAAACAGGAUUAGAUACCCGUGUAGUC
rnacentral:rRNA from 1 species